rfam:Enterococcus sp. 2G9_DIV0600 scaffold00001, whole genome shotgun sequence.
AGUAUUCUUCGGGGCAGGGUGUAAUUCCCGACCGACGGUGACAAGUACAAUGCUUGAAGUCCGUGACCCGCAUAGCUAUGCGGUGGAGCCAGUGUGAAUCUGGCACCGACAGUGAAAGUCUGGAUGGGAGAAGAAAAAC